rnacentral:rRNA from 1 species
AGUGAGCGCUGGCGGUAGGCCUAACACAUGCAAGUCGAACGGCAGCACAGUAAGAGCUUGCUCUUACGGGUGGCGAGUGGCGGACGGGUGAGGAAUACAUCGGAAUCUACUUUUUCGUGGGGGAUAACGUAGGGAAACUUACGCUAAUACCGCAUACGACCUACGGGUGAAAGCAGGGGAUCUUCGGACCUUGCGCGAUUGAAUGAGCCGAUGUCGGAUUAGCUAGUUGGCGGGGUAAAGGCCCACCCAGGCGACGAUCCGUAGCUGGUCUGAGAGGAUGAUCAGCCACACUGGAACUGAGACACGGUCCAGACUCCUACGGGAGGCAGCAGUGGGGAAUAUUGGACAAUGGGCGCAAGCCUGAUCCAGCCAUACCGCGUGGGUGAAGAAGGCCUUCGGGUUGUAAAGCCCUUUUGUUGGGAAAGAAAAGCAGCAGGUUAAUACCCCGCUGUUCUGACGGUACCCAAAGAAUAAGCACCGGCUAACUUC